rnacentral:rRNA from 1 species
AGGCCAAUCAAACCGGGAGAUAGCUGGUUCUCUCCGAAAGCUAUUUAGGUAGCGCCUCGUGAAUUCAUCUCCGGGGGUAGAGCACUGUUUCGGCUAGGGGGCCAUCCCGGCUUACCAACCCGAUGCAAACUGCGAAUACCGGAGAAUGUUAUCACGGGAGACACACGGCGGGUGCUAACGUCCGUCGUGAAGAGGGAAACAACCCAGACCGCCAGCUAAGGUCCCAAAGUCAUGGUUAAGUGGGAAACGAUGUGGGAAGGCCCAGACAGCCAGGAUGUUGGCUUAGAAGCAGCCAUCAUUUAAAGAAAGCGUAAUAGCUCACUGGUCGAGUCGGCCUGCGCGGAAGAUGUAACGGGGCUAAACCAUGCACCGAAGCUGCGGCAGCGAACGUAUCACUUAAAGCGAUUCAGCGGGUUACGAUUGACGGAGCGAAGCGACGUCAAAGCGUAUACAAAGUCGAGUCGGUUUAAGGAUACGUUCGUUGGGUAGGGGAGCGUUCUGUAAGCCUGCGAAGGUGGCCUGUGAGGGUUGCUGGAGGUAUCAGAAGUGCGAAUGCUGACAUAAGUAACGAUAAAGCGGGUGAAAAGCCCGCUCGCCGGAAGACCAAGGGUUCCUGUCCAACGUUAAUCGGGGCAGGGUGAGUCGACCCCUAAGGCGAGGCCGAAAGGCGUAGUCGAUGGGAAACGGGUUAAUAUUCCCGUACUUGGUGUUACUGCGAAGGGGGGACGGAGAAGGCUAUGUUGGCCGGGCGACGGUUGUCCCGGUUUAAGCGUGUAGGUGUGUGUUCCAGGUAAAUCCGGUUCACUUUAACACUGAGGCGUGACGACGAGGCACUACGGUGCUGAAG